CCGGAAGAUGUGCUGGCGAGUCAAGAGGAGCUGCAAGGCCGCCUUUGGCAAACCUUCUCGCAGAUGGAGCAGGAGCUGGUGAAGCUGGUGACCCUGGUCCGGAGCCGUAAAGCGCGGCUGGCAGCGCGCCACCGCAGCUGCAAGGCCUCGGAGUGCCAGGAGGACAAAGAGAGCACUCUCAAGCCUUUCAACCUGGCAGUGUAUGAUAUUGUUGAGGAGGAUUAAGGGCCAUCAUCAUCUCUGGGGCCCGCUACGGAGAGAACGAGAGAAGGAAUAAAGCUGCCAGCAGAGCAAGUGGCGGUUGAGUUGUGGAGCGAUGAUUUGCUUUCCGAUUACGGGGAUGAUCAGAACAGCACGCCUCCGUUUGGGAGAGCAAUCCCACUGGAGCUCAGAAAUAUUCCUUUGGUGGACUACAAGACCCAGAAUCCCCCAACCAGCACCUUCACGGAGAAAGGAGGGGUUUCUGGAUGUGUAGUCCAGCAAAAGCAAAUUUUCCAACCUCCGAAUCCCAUCUGCAUACUAAGAAUGUCAGAAACCAGGUUGCGAACUGUGACAUGUGCUUGAUCCAUAGGCCUUCCCUUCCCAGACGGGGCUGCCCCAUGAAAGCCAGUCUGAAGUCCUUGGAGCGCAUGGAGCAGGACCUGGUGGCUUUGCUCUUCAAGCUUCGCAAGCACAAGUCCUCCUUGGCCAGAGGCUGGUCUUCGGACGACCAGGCAACCACGACUGGGCAGGGCGGCCUUCCCAACGAUGUGGUGAUCUACACGAUCCAGGACGAGACCUAGACCAUGUUUGGGAAAGGCCAACGCCAGAAGGAGAACUCCAGGAGGAACGUGGGAAGCAUGGGGAAUAAAAAUGUUAUGAGUGAAUUUAGCA
rnacentral:lncRNA from 1 species